rnacentral:snRNA from 1 species
GUGCUCACUUUGGCAGCACAUAUACUAAAAUUGAAAUGAUACAGGGCCCCUGCACAAGAAUGACAUGCAAAAAAUAAAAUAAAAUAAAACUACC